UAGGGAAUCUUCCACAAUGGACGCAAGUCUGAUGGAGCAACGCCGCGUGAGUGAAGAAGGUUUUCGGACCGUAAAGCUCUGUUGUUGGUGAAGAAGGAUAGAGGUAGUAACUGGCCUUUAUUUGACGGUAAUCAACCAGAAAGUCACGGCUAACUACGUGCCAGCAGCCGCGGUAAUACGUAGGUGGCAAGCGUUGUCCGGAUUUAUUGGGCGUAAAGCGAGCGCAGGCGGAAUGAAUAAGUCUGAUGUGAAAGCCCUCGGCUUAACCGAGGAAUUGCAUCGGAA
rnacentral:rRNA from 1 species